rnacentral:rRNA from 1 species
UACGUAGGGUGCAAGCGUUGUCCGGAAUUAUUGGGCGUAAAGAGCUCGUAGGCGGUUUGUCGCGUCUGCUGUGAAAACUCGGGGCUUAACUCCGGGCCUGCAGUGGGUACGGGCAGACUAGAGUGCGGUAGGGGAGACUGGAAUUCCUGGUGUAGCGGUGAAAUGCGCAGAUAUCAGGAGGAACACCGGUGGCGAAGGCGGGUCUCUGGGCCGUAACUGACGCUGAGGAGCGAGAGCGUGGGGAGCGAACAGG